GUGCUCACUUAGAUAGCAUGUAUUUUAAAAUUGGAAUGAUACCAAGAAGAUUAAUAUAACCCAGGUGCAAAAAAGGCAGGAAAAUUUGUGAAGCAUUUAAUAAUUUU
ensembl:snRNA U6 U6 spliceosomal RNA